rnacentral:rRNA from 1 species
AUACGGAGGGUGCAAGCGUUACUCGGAAUCACUGGGCGUAAAGCGCGCGCAGGCGGCUAUUUAAGUUGGAUGUGAAAGCCUACGGCUCAACCGUAGAACUGCAUCCAAAACUAUUUAGCUAGAGUGUGGGAGAGGAAGAUGGAAUUAGUUGUGUAGGGGUAAAAUCCGUAGAGAUAACUAGGAAUACCAAAAGCGAAGGCAAACUUCUGGAACACCACUGACGCUGAGGCGCGAAAGCGUGGGGAGCAAACAGGAUUAGAAACCCUAGUAGUCC